UGUGCGUGCAUGUGUGUGUGUGCGUGUGUGUGUGAGUCUGGCUGGGCCGCAGGCUGUAACCGCUGGCUGCGAGGGGAGGCGGGCCGACAGCAGGACACGCACUCUGAACCAGCGGAAUAGAGACGUGUAUCUAGAGCAGGCUAAUGAAAUUAGCCGCCUGAGAGAGCAAACAAAACACCUAUCAAUAUGCAGCAGCGCCGACCGAGGGAGCUCAGCCUGAGCCACACAGGUGAAGUGACAAAGCUCUGGAAAACUUAAAGACUUUUGAACAUUUCUAUGCUUUGCUGAGAUUUACAGGUUGGACAGCUGGAGGGACGGCGUGUGUGGAAAUGCUUGGACGGGUGAUGAACGCAGACGCAGGUAUAAAUACAGUAGGCCAGAGGCUAGCAGGCUGUGAUAUUUCCCAUCAUCCCCCACUGCAUCGAUCCGCUACCACAACUUCCUCUUCCUGCCCUCCACACGCACACACACACACACACACACACACACACACACACACACACACACACACACACACACACACACACACACACACACACACACACACACACACUAUGCCCCUAUAGAAUAACCUGGGCUUCAGAUCGAUGCAUCAAACUGAGGGCUGAUCCCUGAACAGUGCAGUGUGGAGCAGCAAACAAACAAACAAACAAACAAAGAGACAAACAGUGACCUCUGUAACCUGUUUAUCAGCUGAUAAGCAGCAGUGCGCUCAGGGCUCUCGCUCGCCCACCGCAGAUUAAAGCACAAAAACAAGAGGAGGAAACGCAGAUCCCCAGAAGCCCCGCCCCAAAGUGACACUUCAGCACAACUCAUAACUUUUUUUUUCCAGACAAUCCGCCCAAAAAUUCCCUUCUUUUGUCUGGCAUUAGAGCUGCGAGGCUAACGUAGCUAACAUCCAAUAGAAGCUCACACCCCUCACAUUAAUAUGCAUACAGUACAAUUUGAAAUUCUCACAGUAAAGUAGUUACAGUAGAUUAGCUGCAGUAGGCUAAUAACAUUGGUCUAAUGAUAUUAGUCUAGCUAAUAUUAGCAGGCUAGCAUGCUAACUGCACUUUACCCCAACUUAGACUGAUCUCAGUGGAGUUUCACACCCACCACCACCACCAUAAUUCACUCACAGAGAACUAAAGAUCGCUAUUGUUUAAACAGCAAGUGAAGCUCCAGGUCCUUCAGCGCCCCCUGUCCAGGUCCUGCACUGCAGAUGAUCAAAUACUCCAAAUUCGAACUGGAUCAGUACUCACUGAUCUGUUUUCUGAUCAUAUCUUUAACCCAUCAGUAUUUUUUUUACUCUUUAGGUUACCCAACCCAUCUGAGCUGCGUUUUGAUUGGCUGCUGGUCAUUGGUGCACAUUUACUGAGGACAGAGGACAGUCAGGACGAUACUGUGUCAGCACUUGUGUGUUCUACUUUAAUAGUGUAAUAAUAAUAAUAAUAAUAAUAAUAAUAAUAAUAAUAAUAAUAAUACGCUGGGAUGCUAUAUUUACGUAGAUUGCCCCCUUAUCUAAGAUAUACAGUACCUGGUCAGGUGACCCUAAACUGACCAAAAUUAAACAAGUCUAAAGAUCCAAAACAUCAGACCUGUUUAGAUACAGUAGCAGAUACACAAGCCAUUGUAAAGUGUGUG